AUUAAUAACUAAUGAUAAUAGAGAAUAUAGAAGGUUUUAUAUAGCAAUCAUAAAUAUUAUAAUAUACAAUAUAUAAUUUCCCUUGAUUUACAGACGUAAUUGGGAUUUUAGAAUCUGUUUGUAAGGCAGAAAUAAUCUGAAAAUUCAUUUCUCAUUAAUUCUAAUGUAAAAAUUUCCAUUUGGUUUCUGGGUGCCAGGAACCAAUUGGUCAUUUUACUUACAAAAGCAUUAACAUCCAUACAAUAUUGGGCACAAUUGUCUCCCUACCGAAACAUGGCGAAAGUGGUACAAAUCAAAUUCUAAGUUAACUGAAGAUACCUAUAUCUAUAAUUUUUAAAUAAAAAAUAAAGCUAUAACAAUUGAUAUUUUAUUGCCACAUUGAAUUUAAAUUCAAAAAUCAUUUGGCAUUUAAUAUAAUGGAAAUCAAAAUCAAAUAUCUAUUUAGCCCAUUUUUUACUAACUAUAAAUUAUUACAUUAUACAGUAGUAUGCAGUAUUGGGUACAACUGUUGCCUUACUGAAGCAGAGUGAAAGUGGUACAGAUUGAUGGGGGCAUAAACAUUCAAGAGUCCCUAGUGGACCAGGGAUCGAAGGUUAAAGGUUUACAAGACAGAGACAUAUAGGCUGCAUAGGUAGUGAAGCAAAGGAACGGGAUGCAUUGCCUUGCAGACUGUGGCAAGGCCAGGCACAACGUCAAACUGCAUGCACUGUUUGCAACCAACAGAACUUUGAGGCUCUCUAUCUCGUAAACCUUUGAUCUUUGACCCCUGAUCCACUAGGGAUUUUUUGGAUGUUUUGGCCCUUCGUUCGAUCUGUACCACUCUUCAGUUAACAGAUUUUGAUUUAAUGAACAGCAUAAAUUUAUAUCAUUUUUUCAUUUUGCAAAGAAACUAUUCAUCAAUUAAUUAUCCACUGAAAUUGUUAAAUUAAUGAUUUUCUUUACUGAUUGUAUCAGAUAUAUCAAAUUUAUUCUGCAUACCAUUGAUUUUAACAUAAAGUUGACUUCCAUUUUCACCAAAAAAUACAGUAUCAAUAAUCUGAAUAUUUGUAAUGAAUUUGCUGAAUUUUUUCAAAGAUUUUUGCAACUAUAUAAUACUACUAAAUUUUAUGAAAUAAUGAUUAAAUAUUAU
rnacentral:lncRNA from 1 species